AUCCAGCUGACGAGUCAUAAAUAAGAUGAAACGUGCGUCUUGGAU
rnacentral:hammerhead_ribozyme from 1 species